rfam:Paracoccidioides sp. &apos;lutzii&apos; Pb01 unplaced genomic scaffold supercont2.2, whole genome shotgun sequence.
GCCCGCGUGGUUUAGUGGUAGUUAAAGCCUAUCACUAGUAAUGAUAAGAUCCUCAGUUCGAUUCUGAGCGUGGGCA